rnacentral:rRNA from 1 species
UACGUAGGGUGCGAGCGUUGUCCGGAAUUAUUGGGCGUAAAGGGCUCGUAGGCGGCCAACUAAGUCAGACGUGAAAUCCCUCGGCUUAACCGGGGAACUGCAUCUGAUACUGGAUGGCUUGAGUUCGGGAGAGGGAUGCGGAAUUCCAGGUGUAGCGGUGAAAUGCGUAGAUAUCUGGAGGAACACCGGUGGCGAAGGCGGCAUCCUGGACCGACACUGACGCUGAGGUGCGAAAGCGUGGGGAGCAAACAGG